GUUCUUACCUGCACAUGUAUGUUCUACCAGCCAGCAUGUGUCCCUGGUGCGCAGCCCGGGCAGGCGGCCCAGCCGGGGUGGAGGUGCAGGCAGCCCGUUCUGUGGGGCAGGAGGUGCAGGCAGCCUGGAUGGGGUGGAGGUGCAGGCAGCUCGUUCCGUGGGGCAGGAGGAGGUUCCACUGCCCGGCUGCAGGAAGCGGCAGUGAGAUCAGUGACUUAUGGCACAGCCUCGUGCUCUGGCAGCAAACUUCUCAGCUCUGUUUUUAUAAAACCC